rnacentral:rRNA from 1 species
CGCCUGGGGAGUACGGCCGCAAGGUUAAAACUCAAAUGAAUUGACGGGGGCCCGCACAAGCGGUGGAGCAUGUGGUUUAAUUCGACGCAACGCGAAGAACCUUACCUGGCCUUGACAUCCAGAGAGCUUUCCAGAGAUGGAUUGGUGCCUUCGGGAACUCUGAGACAGGUGCUGCAUGGCCGUCGUCAGCUCGUGUCGUGAGAUGUUGGGUUAAGUCCCGUAACGAGCGCAACCCCUAUCCCUGGUUGCUAGCAGGUAAUGCUGAGAACUCCAGGGAGACUGCCGGUGACAAACCGGAGGAAGGUGGGGAUGACGUCAGGUCAUCAUGGCCCUUACGGCCAGGGCUACACACGUGCUACAAUGGCGCGUACAGAGGGCUGCCAACUCGCGAGAGUGAGCCAAUCCCUUAAAACGCGUCGUAGUCCGGAUCGGAGUCUGCAACUCGACUCCGUGAAGUCGGAAUCGCUAGUAAUCGCGAAUCAGAAUGUCGCGGUGAAUACGUCCCCGGGCCUUGUACACACCGCCCGUCACACCAUGGGAGUGGAUUGCACCAGAAGUAGUUAGUCUAACCUUCGGGAGGACGAUUACCACGGUGUGGUUCAUGACUGGGGUGAAGUCGUAACAAGGUAACCGUA